CAGCAGCCGCGGUAAUACGGAGGGUGCAAGCGUUAAUCGGAAUUACUGGGCGUAAAGCGCACGCAGGCGGUCUGACAAGUCAGAUGUGAAAUCCCCGGGCUUAACCUGGGAACUGCAUUUGAAACUGUCAGGCUGGAGUCUUGUAGAGGGGGGUGGAAUUCCAGGUGUAGCGGUGAAAUGCGUAGAGAUCUGGAGGAAUACCGGUGGCGAAGGCGGCCCCCUGGACAAAGACUGACGCUCAGGUGCGAAAGCGUGGGGAGCAAACAGGAUUAGAUACCCGCGUAUCCCUGUCUCUUAUACA
rnacentral:rRNA from 1 species